GGUGGUAUGGUGUGUUCAAUUUUUAUUUUCGUUUUUUAUUUUCGUUUUCAGAUUAGGGUUCAAUUUUAGUUUUUGAUUUUCGUUUUGAUUAUUGUUUUUGAUUUUCGUUUUUGAUUUUCGUUUUGAUUUUCGUUUUGAUUUUCGUUUUUGAUUUUCGUUUGUUCAACUUUUAUUUUUAUUUUGAUUUUGUUGAUUUUGUUGGCUGUUGGCUGUUCCGGUGUGUUCCUGUAGUUACUGGAAAAGACAAUGGUUUGCUAUCCAGGCAAUUAGAAACUAAGCUAAAGUUCAUGAUAUAGUUUCAACUAGCCCUUGUUGGGAAAUUAUGUAUUGUACUUUGGUGUUUAUCGCUGCGGUGGUGGGGAUUCAGGGACAAGCGAUAUGGCGAGGAACCUUAAAACUGUUUCGUGUUGUCUUUUCUGUGACAUUUAUACGUAAUGGUGCAUAUUGUAAUGAACGAACAUCCCUUUAUCCCCAACUGGUAUUUAGAAACUGAUGCUUGAAGGUUUACUUUGAUGGAAGAGUUGCUACUAGUGUGCACUGUGCAGGAUGAUUUUGCUAGAAACAAAGCACAAGCCAGUAUGUCCUUUAUUCAUAGAGUAUACAUAAUGUAGAAAUUGUGUUAAUAGUGUCUUUUGUCUUAUGAUAGCUGUUAUGAGAUUUACGCUUCCCGUUUUCCUUAUUUUUGCUUGUCCUAUGAAUUGUGAUUGUCACCUUGGUAUCUAGCAUCUGUCUGUAAGCUGCUUUAAGCAUGGGUCUGUUUUUUCAUUAGUGAAUCAUAUGUUUCGAUUGUUUAUUGUUUCUUGCUGAGUGUAUACUGUAGGUCUGUAGCAGAAGCAGCAUUAUACUGCUUGCACUUGCAACACUAUAUUCUCUUUAACUUCUUGGUUUGUAUUUUUUUUCCUAUAAUCUUUUUGUUAAUUGCUGGUAGCCUGGUACCAUGAAAUUCACUUUUUCUCAAGUUCUUGCAUCUUUUCUCAACAACCUCUUUUAAUUCUGUGUAUUUUAUUCUCAAUUGUCAACUGUAAUUGAAGCUUAUGCUGCAUACAACAGUGUUUAAUGGUCAGCAUCUUGAUACUUUCCUUUUUCUAUCUUGCCCGUUUUAAGCUGGCUAUAUUCUUUUGAAACCAACUUGAUCUUCUGAUCGCUUUCUAACCAUUUCAGGUAUCUGUCAUCCAACCUGUUUCUGGAUGUGGACUUGCUAUACUUUCCAUUUUCUCCCAUUUUUACUUGAAGGAGCUUAUGAAUGUUGUAGAUUGGCUGGGAAUCGCAUUGGCUGGCAUUGGUACAAUAGGUAAUGUCUACACUCCGAGGAUUGCGCCUUAUGCGAGGAAUUUGAUGUGGUUCGUGAGCAAUGGGCUAAGUUUUUUACCAACAAGUAUUUAUUAUUGGCUUUAGCGCGCUUGAUCGAGUUGGUUUAGUUGUUAUAGAAUAAAUUUUAUAUUAAAAUGUAUGUUUAUGUUGAAAUUGGAACAUAUAUUUAAAUGUAAUAUGUGCACUUUGGUUUUGGGAUAUAUAGUAUACAAAACUCCAGUUGUUGUUUUUA